rnacentral:tRNA from 1 species
GGGGGUGUAACUCAAUUGGUAGAGUGUCAGACUUUUAAUCUGAAGGUUGAGGGUUCGAUUCCCUCCGCCCCUA